rnacentral:rRNA from 1 species
AACGAACGCUGGCGGCGUGCCUAACACAUGCAAGUCGAACGCGAAAGCCCGCAAGGGUAAGUAGAGUGGCGCACGGGUGAGUAAUAUAUGGGUAAUCUGCCCUCGAGUGGGGGACAACGUUCCGAAAGGAGCGCUAAUACCGCAUGACCCGCAUUGGACACAGGUCCGGUGCGGCAAAGAUGGCCUCUGCUUGCAAGCUAUCGCUUGAGGAGGAACCCGUAUCCCAUUAGGUAGUUGGUAAGGUAACGGCUUACCAAGCCUACGAUGGGUAGCCGGCCUGAGAGGGUGACCGGCCACACUGGCACUGACACACGGGCCAGACUCCUACGGGUGGCUG